UAUUAUUAGGUUGGUGCAAAAGUAAUUGUGGUUGUUGCCAUUACUUUCAACUGCAAAAACCACAAUAACUUUUGCACCAACCUAAUAUU
ensembl:miRNA